GACGAACGCUGGCGGCGUGCUUAACACAUGCAAGUCGAACGGAAAGGCCCUGCUUGCAGGGUACUCGAGUUGCCAACGGGUGAGUAACACGUGGGUGAUCUGCCCUGCACUUCGGGAUAAGCCUGGGAAACUGGGUCUAAUACCGGAUAGGAGCCAUUUUUAGUGGGAUGGUUCAAAAGUUUUUUCGGUGUUGGAUGAGGUCGCGGCCUAUCGGCUUGUUGGUGGGGUAAUGGGCUACCAAGGCGGCUAGGGGUAGCCGCCCUGAGAGGGUGGACGGCGACACAGACUCUGAGGUGAGGCAGAAGUGCGUAAGGUAGGACGCUGUGGGGAAGCCUGCACAAUCGACGCCGGGUUGGUGCAGCAAGGCCGCGUGUUGGAAGACGGCCUUCUUGUGGUAGAAAACUUGCGCUAGAAACGAAGCUUGUUGUGACGGUACCUAAAUAAGAAGCACCGGCUAACUACGUG
rnacentral:rRNA from 1 species